rnacentral:misc_RNA from 1 species
GAUGAAGAACGCAGCGAAAUGCGAUACUUGGUGUGACUUGCAGAAUCCCGUGAACCAUCGAGUCUUUGAACGCAAGUUGCGCCCGAAGCCACUAGGCCGAGGGCACGCCUGCCUGGGCGUCACACGUCGUUGCCCCCCCAUCUACUCCUUCGGGAUUGCGGGGGGGCGGAUGAUGGCCUCCCGUGCGCCUAGCCGCGCGGUUGGCAUAAAUACCAAGUCCUCGGCGACGCACGCCACGACAAUCGGUGGUUGCGAAACCUCGGUUGCCCGUCGUGUGCGUUCGUCGCGCAUCGAGGGCUCGAAAAAAUGCUCGGCUUCGGCUCAGCUUUCAACGCGACCCCAGGUCAGGCGGGGUUACCCGCUGAAUUUAAGCAUAUCAAUAAGCGGAGGA